GGUAGUCCACGCCGUAAACGAUGUCAACUAGCCGUCUGUAGACUUGAUCUGUGGGUGGCGUAGCUAACGCGCUAAGUUGACCGCCUGGGGAGUACGGCCGCAAGGUUAAAACUCAAAUGAAUUGACGGGGGCCCGCACAAGCGGUGGAGCAUGUGGUUUAAUUCGAUGCAACGCGAAGAACCUUACCAUCCCUUGACAUCCAGAGAAGAGACUAGAGAUAGACUUGUGCCUUCGGGAACUCUGUGACAGGUGCUGCAUGGCUGUCGUCAGCUCGUGUCGUGAGAUGUUGGGUUAAGUCCCGCAACGAGCGCAACCCUUGUUUUUAGUUGCUUUUUAAAGAACUCUAGAAAGACUGCCGGUUAUAAACCGGAGGAAGGCGGGGAUGACGUCAAGUCAGCAUGCCCCUUACACCCUGGGCUACACACGUGCUACAUUGGGCGAGACAAUGAGACGCAAAUCUGUGAAGACUAGCUAAUCUAUAAACUCGUUCUAAGUUCGGAUUGUAGGCUGCAACUCGCCUACAUGAAGUUGGAAUCGCUAGUAAUCGCUGGUCAGCUAUACAGCGGUGAAUUCGUUCCCGGGCCUUGUACACACCGCCCGUCACACCAUGGAAGCUGGUUAUACCCGAAGUCGUUACUCUAACCGUUUGGAGGAGAAUGCCUAAGGUAGAAUUAGUGACUAGGGUGAAGUCGUAACAAGGUAACCGUACUGGA
rnacentral:rRNA from 1 species